rnacentral:lncRNA from 1 species
UAUUAAAAAAUAGAACUGAGCUUUUCAAAUGGUCAUGUCAGUGCAAUAUUGCCAGCACUUACAAGAGUUAUUUGGCUUUUCAUAUUUUUUGAGGAGACUCUUGACCCACCGAUGCAGGCUUUGGUGAAGUGUGUGGCUUGGGCGUCCCCACCGUGCUGUCACUGCAGAGGCUGGUCCCUGGCGUCUGUCUGAGGCCACACACGUCUUCCCUGCACAGGUUACUUCUUGCUGCAGAUUCUGCGCAGGAUCGGAGCUGUGGGCCAGGCUGUGUCCAGGACGGCGUGGUCGGCCCUUUGGCUGGCCGUGGUUGCUCCAGGGAAGGCAGCCUCUGGAGUGUUCUGGUGGCUGGGGAUUGGAUGGUACCAGUUUGUUACUUUGAUUUCUUGGCUGAAUGUGUUUCUUCUUACCAGGUGCCUUCGAAACAUCUGCAAGUUUUUAGUCUUGCUCAUCCCACUCUUCCUUUUACUAGGUAAGUCAAAUCUGGCUGAGUUGCCUCCGAUGGCUAAGCGGUACACACAUAUGUGUAACUUAGUGGAAAAAAAUGAGCGUGUAAGUCCAUGUUUUGAGAAGCGUGGUGUACCUGUGUGUGUGUGGUGGCUCUUCUCUUUUAGCAGGUCUCUCCUUAC